rnacentral:rRNA from 1 species
CCCUUAGAUGUUCUGGGCCGCACGCGUGCUACACUGAGUGGAUCAGCGGGUCAGGUUGCGCGAAAGCGUUUCCUAAUCUUUAAAUCCGCUCGUGAUGGGGAUUGACGGUUGCAAUUUUCUGUCAUGAACGAGGAAUACCAUGUAAGCGCGGGUCAUCAUCCCGCGCUGAAUACGUCCCUGCCCUUUGUACACACCGCCCGUCGCUCCUACCGAUUGAAGUUUUCGGUGAGUUGACAGGAGGAUUUUUUUGAAACUGGUUCGCCAGUGGAUUUUAGAUCCAAAUGCCAACGAAUCGAUGGCUUUAGAGGAAGGAGAAGUCGUAACA